rnacentral:rRNA from 1 species
UGGGGAAUUUUGCACAAUGGGCGCAAGCCUGAUGCAGCGACGCCGCGUGAGGGAUGAAGGCCUUCGGGUUGUAAACCUUUUUCGCUCAUGGUCAAGCCGCAGCUUUGGGUUGUGGUGAGGGUAGUGGGUAAAGAAGCGCCGGCUAACUACGUGCCAGCAGCCGCGGUAAUACGUAGGGCGCGAGCGUUGUCCGGAAUUAUUGGGCGUAAAGGGCUUGUAGGCGGUUGGCCGCGUCUGCCGUGAAAUCCUCUGGCUUAACUGGGGGCGUGCGGUGGGUACGGGUUGACUUGAGUGCGGUAGGGGAGACUGGAAUUCCUGGUGUAGCGGUGGAAUGCGCAGAUAUCAGGAGGAACACCGGUGGUGAAGGCGGGUCUCUGGGCCGUUACUGACGCUGAGGAGCGAAAGCGUGGGGAGCGAACAGG